GACGAACGCUGGCGGCGUGCCUAAUACAUGCAAGUCGAACGCAUUUUCUUUCACCGUAGCUUGCUACACCGAAAGGAAAUGAGUGGCGAACGGGUGAGUAACACGUGGGUAACCUGCCCAUCAGCGGGGGAUAACACUUGGAAACAGGUGCUAAUACCGCAUAAUUCCAUUUACCGCAUGGUAGAUGGAUGAAAGGCGCUUUUGCGUCACUGAUGGAUGGACCCGCGGUGCAUUAGCUAGUUGGUGGGGUAACGGCCUACCAAGGCUGCGAUGCAUAGCCGACCUGAGAGGGUGAUCGGCCACACUGGGACUGAGACACGGCCCAGACUCCUACGGGAGGCAGCAGUAGGGAAUCUUCGGCAAUGGACGCAAGUCUGACCGAGCAACGCCGCGUGAGUGAAGAAGGGUUUCGGAUCGUAAAACUCUGUUGUUAGAGAAGAACAAGGAUGAGAGUGGAAAGUUCAUCCCUUGACGGUAUCUAACCAGAAAGCCACGGCUAACUACGUG
rnacentral:rRNA from 1 species